UACGAGAGGCCCAAACGUUAUUCGGAUUUACUGGGCUUAAAGAGUUCGUAGGCGGCGCGGAAAGUAGGGUGUGAAAGCCCUCGGCUCAACCGAGGAAUUGCGCCCUAAACUGUCGCGCUCGAGGAACCUAGAGGUGAGCAGAACUGAUGGUGGAGCGGUGAAAUGCGUUGAUAUCAUCAGGAAUACCGGAGGCGAAGGCGGCUCACUGGGGGUUAUCUGACGCUGAAGAACGAAAGCCAGGGGAGCAAACGGG
rnacentral:rRNA from 1 species